GGGGAGAUGGCUCAGUGGUUAAGAGCACUGCCUGCUCUUCCAUAGGACCUGGGUUCAAUUCCCAGUACCUA
rnacentral:tRNA from 1 species